rnacentral:rRNA from 1 species
AGAGUUUGAUCAUGGCUCAGAUUGAACGCUGGCGGCAGGCCUAACACAUGCAAGUCGAACGGUAACAGAAAGCAGCUUGCUGCUUUGCUGACGAGUGGCGGACGGGUGAGUAAUGUCUGGGAAACUGCCUGAUGGAGGGGGAUAACUACUGGAAACGGUAGCUAAUACCGCAUAACGUCGCAAGACCAAAGAGGGGGACCUUCGGGCCUCUUGCCAUCGGAUGUGCCCAGAUGGGAUUAGCUUGUUGGUGGGGUAACGGCUCACCAAGGCGACGAUCCCUAGCUGGUCUGAGAGGAUGACCAGCCACACUGGAACUGAGACACGGUCCAGACUCCUACGGGAGGCAGCAGUGGGGAAUAUUGCACAAUGGGCGCAAGCCUGAUGCAGCCAUGCCGCGUGUAUGAAGAAGGCCUUCGGGUUGUAAAGUACUUUCAGCGGGGAGGAAGGGAGUAAAGUUAAUACCUUUGCUCAUUGACGUUACCCGCAGAAGAAGCACCGGCUAACUCCGUGCCAGCAGCCGCGGUAAUACGGAGGGUGCAAGCGUUAAUCGGAAUUACUGGGCGUAAAGCGCACGCAGGCGGUUUGUUAAGUCAGAUGUGAAAUCCCCGGGCUCAACCUGGGAACUGCAUCUGAUACUGGCAAGCUUGAGUCUCGUAGAGGGGGGUAGAAUUCCAGGUGUAGCGGUGAAAUGCGUAGAGAUCUGGAGGAAUACCGGUGGCGAAGGCGGCCCCCUGGACGAAGACUGACGCUCAGGUGCGAAAGCGUGGGGAGCAAACAGGAUUAGAUACCCUGGUAGUCCACGCCGUAAACGAUGUCGACUUGGAGGUUGUGCCCUUGAGGCGUGGCUUCCGGAGCUAACGCGUUAAGUCGACCGCCUGGGGAGUACGGCCGCAAGGUUAAAACUCAAAUGAAUUGACGGGGGCCCGCACAAGCGGUGGAGCAUGUGGUUUAAUUCGAUGCAACGCGAAGAACCUUACCUGGUCUUGACAUCCACGGAAGUUUUCAGAGACGAGAAUGUGCCUUCGGGAACCGUGAGACAGGUGCUGCAUGGCUGUCGUCAGCUCGUGUUGUGAAAUGUUGGGUUAAGUCCCGCAACGAGCGCAACCCUUAUCCUUUGUUGCCAGCGGUCCGGCCGGGAACUCAAAGGAGACUGCCAGUGAUAAACUGGAGGAAGGUGGGGAUGACGUCAAGUCAUCAUGGCCCUUACGACCAGGGCUACACACGUGCUACAAUGGCGCAUACAAAGAGAAGCGACCUCGCGAGAGCAAGCGGACCUCAUAAAGUGCGUCGUAGUCCGGAUUGGAGUCUGCAACUCGACUCCAUGAAGUCGGAAUCGCUAGUAAUCGUGGAUCAGAAUGCCACGGUGAAUACGUUCCCGGGCCUUGUACACACCGCCCGUCACACCAUGGGAGUGGGUUGCAAAAGAAGUAGGUAGCUUAACCUUCGGGAGGGCGCUUACCACUUUGUGAUUCAUGACUGGGGUGAAGUCGUAACAAGGUAACCGUAGGGGAACCUGCGGUUGGAUCACCU